GCCUUCGUGGUGUAGUGGUCAGCACGCUGGGUGCGUAUUCCAGAGGUCCGUGGUUCGAGUCCCGGCGAAGGCG
rnacentral:tRNA from 1 species